UCUGUGUGUCUUAACAGACAGGUCAUGCAUGAAGACAUUCGGUAUUCCCCAUACAAGAUGAAAAAGGGUAAAUUUUUAUCCCAAGCCAUCAAGGACAAGAGGAAAGACCGCACUACGAAGCUUUUGAACAAAGUCAAGCAUCCCUUUCAACUGAACAUGCUUUGGUUUUUCUGAGACGAGAAAAU